rnacentral:misc_RNA from 1 species
AAGUCGUAACAAGGUAUCCGUAGGUGAACCUGCGGAUGGAUCAUUAUCACGUAUCCACGUAUCAACCAUUGUGAACUGUACCCUACCUUUGAGAGGAGUUUUAUGAGUGAUAAAGAGUUUUUUUUUCCUUCGGGGGGAGAAAACUUCGCCUCUCAAAGUGUAUUUUUUAUCACUUUAUUAACUAUUUUAACUUAAUUAACUAUACUUUUUGUCUGAUUUUAUUUCUUACUCUUCACGGAGAAGAAAUUUCAUUACGAAACAAAGAACAACUCUUAGCAACGGAUAUCUUGGUUCUC